UGGCUGCCUCCAUGAAGCGGUUACUUCGGCUCGUUGGGAAACCUCGGCUGUUUACUCACAUGCUGCGUAAACAGUUAGUUGUAUCACAAAGGGCUUACGCAGUGAAGUAUGUUCCCGAUAUUCCACCACCAGAAUUAGGUGAAACAAACCGUUCUAAUUUGGUACAGUCACUGAACAAUGCAAUGGAUAUAGCUAUGUCAACAGACCCAACAUCUGUGUUGUUUGGUGAAGAUGUGGCAUUUGGUGGUGUGUUUAGGUGCAGCGUCAAUCUCAGAGAAAACUACGGUCCUGAUCGGGUAUUUAACACCCCUCUCAGUGAGCAAGGCAUCGUGGCGUUUGGUAUUGGCCUGGCCACAGCUGGGGCUACAGCUAUAGCAGAAAUCCAGUUUGCCGACUACAUUUUCCCAGCUUUUGAUCAGAUAGCUAACGAAGCAGCCAAGUUUCGGUACCGUACAGGUAAUCUGUUUGAUUGUGGUAAGCUGACCAUCAGGACGCCGUGUGGAGCUGUAGGACAUGGAGCACUAUAUCAUUCCCAAAGUCCAGAGGCAUUCUUUGCUCACCUGCCAGGCCUAAAGGUUGUCGUUCCACGAGGCCCCCAGCAGGCCAAGGGUCUUCUCCUUAGUUGUAUACGUGAUGAGAACCCUUGUAUAUUUAUGGAGCCUAAGAUUCUGUAUCGUGGCGCUGUUGAAGAGGUACCAGUUGGGGACUACGAGAUACCCUUAUCUAAGGCUGAUGUCCUUGUAGAAGGAAGUGAUGUCACACUGGUUGGCUGGGGAACACAGGUUCAUGUUCUCCGUGAGGUGGCUCAAAUGGCUCAAGAAAAACUGAAUGUGUCAUGUGAACUGAUUGAUCUGCAGACGAUUCUCCCCUGGGAUCAAGAUACCAUUAUAAAUUCUGUUUGUAAGACAGGGAAGCUGUUAAUUGCCCAUGAGGCCCCUAUCACUAUGGGUUUUGCCUCCGAGAUAGCUGCAACUGUACAGAGUGAAUGUUUCCUGAACUUGGAGGCUCCUAUACAGAGAAUCUGUGGGUAUGACACACCUUUCCCACAUGUGUAUGAGGCCUUCUACCUACCAGAUAAGUGGAGAUGUUUUGAGGCUGUGAAAACACUUGUGAACUAUUAACCAGUGGUCAAAACAUUGAAAGUGAUGUUUCCUUAUGAAUAGCAUAUGGUUAUCAUGUGAUGGAAAGAUCAUGUGAUCGUCAUGUGACUGAAAUUAUCUUGUGAUCAUCAUGUGAAGGAAAUUAUCAUGUGACGAACAGCUUUACUUGUCUGAAUCUCAUUUGCCCACAUUGUGAAGGAGUUUUUGUUAUACUGACUGAAUCUGUACACAAGUGUGAGUUCACCAUUUUACUUCAGGUACAAUAUAACCUUAGGAGAUCCACUUCUUCAAAAUGUUUACUACAGGUACAAUACAAACUUAGGAGACCCACUUCUGAUAUAGAAAUAUCACCUAAAUUGAAAUUUUGUAUUCAAGAGUAAAUUAAUUACAGUCAGAGAAAAUAAUAUUACCCAGUAUCGUCUUAUGUAAUCAGGGACCACAGGUUGUUUAAGUAUAAAAUUUAAUAAUUAAAAAAGAUUGAGUAUAUUUUGUUAGUCUUGAAAAUGUGUUAUGUACAUAUGUGUGCUUUAGAUUAUAACAUAUUAUGGUAUUCACAAGAAGCAAUAAUGUUUACCCCAGUGCUAAAAUGUGAGGGGAAUUUAUCUUAUAAAUGAGAGUAUUUAUUGUUAAUAUGUGUAUAGACACAGUCCAACUGGUUUAAACAUACCGUAUUUGACCUAAUAAGGGCGCAGGGCGCGGGUAAUUGACAGUGGGGGCGCCCUUAUUAAGAUUAGUUAUUCUGAAGUUUUAUGAAACAGACUA